rnacentral:rRNA from 1 species
AGGGAAUCUUCCGCAAUGGACGAAAGUCUGACGGAGCAACGCCGCGUGAGUGAAGAAGGCCUUCGGGUCGUAAAGCUCUGUUGCCGGGGAAGAACAAGUGCCGUUCGAACAGGGCGGUGCCUUGACGGUACCCGGCCAGAAAGCCACGGCUAACUACGUGCCAGCAGCCGCGGUAAUACGUAGGUGGCAAGCGUUGUCCGGAAUUAUUGGGCGUAAAGCGCGCGCAGGCAGCUUCUUAAGUCUGAUGUGAAAUCUUGCAGCCCAACCGCAAGCGGUCAUUGGAAACUGGGAGGCUUGAGUGCAGAAGAGGAGAGUGGAAUUCCACGUGUAGCGGUGAAAUGCGUAGAGAUGUGGAGGAACACCAGUGGCGAAGGCGGCUCUCUGGUCUGUAACUGACGCUGAGGCGCGAAAGCGUGGGGAGCAAAC